CUCAGCACUGCUUGGCCAGGCCUACUUCACAGCUACCCCAUGGCUCUCAGGCCUCCCCGGCCCAGGCACAGGAGUUCCCGUUGGAGGCCGGUAUCUCCCACCUGGAAGCCGACCUGAGCCAGACCUCCCUGGUCCUGGAAACAUCCAUUGCCGAACAGUUACAGGAGCUGCCGUUCACGCCUUUGCAUGCCCCUAUUGUUGUGGGAACCCAGACCAGGAGCUCUGCAGGGCAGCCCUCGAGAGCCUCCAUGGUGCUCCUGCAGUCCUCCGGCUUUCCCGAGAUUCUGGAUGCCAAUAAACAGCCAGCCGAGGCUGUCAGCGCUACAGAACCUGUGACGUUUAACCCUCAGAAGGAAGAAUCAGAUUGUCUACAAAGCAACGAGAUGGUGCUACAGUUUCUUGCCUUUAGCAGUUCUACCGCUUCCCACCCGCAACGACGCCACGACUGCAGCUGGUCCAGCUGGAUGAGGCCGGCCAGCCCAGCUCUGGCGCCCUGACCCACAUCCUCGUGCCUGUGAGCAGAGAUGGCACCUUUGAUGCUGGGUCUCCUGGCUUCCAGCUGAGGUACAUGGUGGGCCCUGGGUUCCUGAAGCCAGGUGAGCGG
rnacentral:lncRNA from 1 species